rnacentral:rRNA from 1 species
GACGAACGCUGUCGGCGUGCUUAACACAUGCAAGUCGAACGGAAAGGCCCUGCUUUUGUGGGGUGCUCGAGUGGCGAACGGGUGAGUAACACGUGAGUAACCUGCCCUUGACUUUGGGAUAACUUCAGGAAACUGGGGCUAAUACCGGAUAGGAGCUCCUGCUGCAUGGUGGGGGUUGGAAAGUUUCGGCGGUUGGGGAUGGACUCGCGGCUUAUCAGCUUGUUGGUGGGGUAGUGGCUUACCAAGGCUUUGACGGGUAGCCGGCCUGAGAGGGUGACCGGCCACAUUGGGACUGAGAUACGGCCCAGACUCCUACGGGAGGCAGCAGUGGGGAAUAUUGCACAAUGGGCGGAAGCCUGAUGCAGCAACGCCGCGUGCGGGAUGACGGCCUUCGGGUUGUAAACCGCUUUCGCCUGUGACGAAGCGUGAGUGACGGUAAUGGGUAAAGAAGCACCGGCUAACCACGUG